UACAGAGACUGCAAGCGUUAUUCGGAUUCACUGGGCGUAAAGGGUGCGCAGGCGGCCAAGUGUGUGAGGCGUGAAAGCCCGGGGCUUAACCCCGGAAUUGCACCUCAAACUACAUGGCUAGAGCAUUGGAGAGGGUAGCGGAAUUCACGGUGUAGCAGUGAAAUGCGUGGAUAUCGUGAGGAACACCAGAGGCGAAGGCGGCUACCUGGACAAUUGCUGACGCUCAGGCACGAAAGCGUGGGGAGCAAAAGGG
rnacentral:rRNA from 1 species